GAUGAACGCUGGCGGCGUGCCUAAUACAUGCAAGUCGAGCGAACGGACGAGAAGCUUGCUUCUCUGAUGUUAGCGGCGGACGGGUGAGUAACACGUGGAUAACCUACCUAUAAGACUGGGAUAACUUCGGGAAACCGGAGCUAAUACCGGAUAAUAUUUUGAACCGCAUGGUUCAAAAGUGAAAGACGGUCUUGCUGUCACUUAUAGAUGGAUCCGCGCUGCAUUAGCUAGUUGGUAAGGUAACGGCUUACCAAGGCAACGAUGCAUAGCCGACCUGAGAGGGUGGUCGGCCCACCUGGAACUGGGACCCGGUCCAGCCCCCUACGGGGGGCCGCAGUAGGGAAUCUUCCGCAAGGGGCGAAAGCCUGACGGAGAAACGCCGCGGGAGUGAUGAAGGUCUUCGGUUUGUAAAACUCUUUUUUUGGGGAAGAACAUAUGUUUAAGUAACUGUGCCCAUCUUGACGGUACCUAAUCAGAAAGCCCCGGCUAACUACGU
rnacentral:rRNA from 1 species